rnacentral:lncRNA from 1 species
CCCUGCAGCAGCAGCGGCGUGGUCAGAGCGAGCUUCGGAGAAGCAGUGGUGGGUUCCAUGUGAUGGUGGAGUAGGAGGCAGGUCUCCGCGGUUUCUUCAUGUGGCUGCAGAUGGCAGGAUUUCCCAAAGGUUUCUGGCUGAAACAUAUUCCGUGGUGUAUCUGUACAGCAGUUUCCUCAUCCCUGCAGCUGUGUUUGAACAGGUCAUUUACCAUGCUGUCCUCCAGGUUCAACAGUAUGGCUCCAAAUGAUGAAAUUUCAUUCUGAUUUUCUGGCUGAAGACUAUUCUCUUUGUGUAUGUCCACCACAGUUACUUUAUCCCUUCAUCUGUGGAUGGGCAGUCUCGCUGUAUUGCCCAGGCUGGAGUGCAGUGGCAUGAUCUCAGCUCACUGCAAGCUCUGCUUCCUGGGUUCACGCCAUUCUCCUGCCUCAGCCUCCUGAGUAGCUGGGAUUACAGGCACCCGCCACCACGCCCAGAAUGAAACAUAUAUGGAAAUGUUCUGUGCAAUCAAAACAGCAGUGGUAACAGAGGAGAUGUAGGCUCUGAGUGUCUCACUGGAGACUGAAGUCCACAGAUAUGCAACAAAGCCUUUGUCUCCCUGAUGUUUUUGCCUCCUGCUGGUCAUGUGCUUUCACACAUCAAGAGAGGACAUUUAACAUUUGA